rnacentral:rRNA from 1 species
CAGCAGCCGCGGGAAUACGUAGGUGGCGAGCGUUGUCCGGAAUUAUUGGGCGUAAAGGGAGCGCAGGCGGACAUAUAAGUCCAUCUUAAAAGUGCGGGGCUCAACCCCGUGAGGGGAUGGAAACUGUAUGCCUUGAGUGCAGGAGAGGAAAGCGGAAUUCCCAGUGUAGCGGUGAAAUGCGUAGAUAUUGGGAGGAACACCAGUGGCGAAGGCGGCUUUCUGGACUGCAACUGACGCUGAGGCUCGAAAGCCAGGGGAGCGAACGGGAUUAGAUACCCGCGUAGUCCCUGUCUCUUAUACA